GACGGGUGCGUAACGCGUAUGCAACCUGCCUGACACAGGGGGAUAAUCCGAAGAAAUUUGGUCUAAUACCCCAUAAUACCGAUAUAGGCAUCUAUGUUGGUUGAAAGCUUUGGUGGUGUCAGAUGGGCAUGCGUUGUAUUAGCUAGUUGGUGAGGUAACGGCUCACCAAGGCGACGAUACAUAGGGGGACUGAGAGGUUAACCCCCCACACUGGUACUGAGACACGGACCAGACUCCUACGGGAGCAGCAUG
rnacentral:rRNA from 1 species